AUUGAACGCUGGCGGCAUGCCUUACACAUGCAAGUCGAACGGCAGCACAGUUGCUUGUUGCUCUUGCCGAUGGCCAGAGGCGGGAGGAAUACAUCUGAACAGGUCCCUUAUUUUUGGAUAGCGCUGAGAAAGCGGGAUUUAUGCUACUAACGAUUUAGACCUAAGAGCGAAGGCCGUUCGUCUUCCGCCCUUGCGGGUUGGCAUAUGCCGAUGGCGGAUUAGCUAGUUGGAGGGGUAAAGGCCCACCAAGGCGACGAUCAGUAGCUGGUCUGAGAGGAUGAUCAGCCACACUGGAACUGAGACACGGUCCAGACUCCUACGGGAGGCAGCAGUGGGGAAUAUUGGACAAUGGGCGCAAGCCUGAUCCAGCAAUGCCGCGUGUGUGAAGAAGGCCUUCGGGUUGUAAAGCACUUUUGUCCGGAAAGAAAACCAUCGCGUUAAUACGGCGGGGGGCUGACGGUACCGAAAGAAUAAGCACCGGCUAACUACGUG
rnacentral:rRNA from 1 species